AACGAACGCUGGCGGCAGGCUUAACACAUGCAAGUCGAACGAGAUCUUCGGAUCUAGUGGCAGACGGGUGAGGAACACGUGGGAACAUCCCUUUCAGUUCGGAAUAACGUUGGGAAACUAACGCUAAUACCGGAUACGUCCUUCGGGAGAAAGAUUUAUCGCUGAAAGAUUGGCCCGCGUCUGAUUAGCUAGUUGGUAGGGUAGCGGCUCACAAAGGCUACGAUCAGUAGCUGAUUUGAGAGGAUGAUCAGCCACAUUGGGACUGAGACACGGACCAAACUCCGACGGGAGGCAGCAGUGGGGAAUAUUGGACAAUGGGCGCAAGCCUGAUCCAGCCAUGCCGCGUGAGUGAUGACGGCCUUCGGGUUGUAAAGCUCUUUUGUCCGGGAAGAUAAUGACUGUACCGGAAGAAUAAGCCCCGGCAAACUUCGUGCCAGCCGCCGCGGUAA
rnacentral:rRNA from 1 species